UACAGAGGUCUCAAGCGUUUGUUCGGAUUCAUUGGGCGUAAAGGGUGCGUAGGCGGCGUGGUAAGUCGGAUGUGAAAUCUCGGAGCUUAACUCCGAAACUGCAUUCGAUACUGCCGUGCUUGAGGACUGGAGAGGAGACUGGAAUUUACGGUGUAGCGGUGAAAUGCGUAGAUAUCGUAAGGAAGACCAGUGGCGAAGGCGGGUCUCUGGACAGUUCCUGACGCUGAGGCACGAAGGCCAGGGGGAGCAAACGGG
rnacentral:rRNA from 1 species